GAAUGCUGUUAUUCAUUCCUGCCUGCAAUAAAAGCCACAUGUUUUUAAAACUUUGCACUUGAAAAAACUUUUAGGAAAGAAAUCAAGUAUGUUUUGUAUGCAUGGCAUGAGAUAAAAACUGGUCAUAAAUAUUCAAAGAACAGUCAGAGCUUUAUGCUUGAUUUAAACAAGUGAACAGAGAAGCGCGAUGGUUGAAGUGGAGAAUGAAAGCCUGAUGUUCCUUUAAGAAUGUGCUUAUGCAGAGAAAAGGAUCCAUUCAUGCAAAGGUUACGGAGCACCUGAGGACAUCCCAUCUCCUCCAAAAAGGCCCCAAGGCUGGUUUGCUUUCUGCAAUUAUUCACCAGUUUCACUUCUACGAAUGAGGCCGGGUGCUGCUCUAUCACUGCAGUGUCACAGCGGAGCUGCGGUCGGACGGCUCUGACUCGAUGGGCUUUGGGCAGCGCCGCUUCUGCUCCUUCCUCGGAUUAUUUUUUCCGGUGCAAACACUCUCUGUUCACAUUUCUAAGAGAGAUUCUCAUUGCCAACAACCCCCCCCCUCCCGGCUGCUAAGUUGGAUUGUAUAGAACAGCUGCAGAAAAGAAGCCCCAAAGAGAGCUCAGACCACAUCUCACCCUGUACAGGCAUCCAACAAAACCCCCCUGACCUGGAUGGAAUUAGUCACAAACAUACAGCUACACAGAAGCCUGUCAGGUCCAACCAUGUUUCUCAAGGCUGAGGAUGUCCUGUGCUGGUUGGGCAAACCAGAAACUGCUUCAUUGGUGUCUGUUCCUCCACUGACCUAAGGAAGGCAAUGAGGAGAACCACAGGUGGAGAGGGCUAAGGACUGAAGUGCACAGAUUUGGCUCUCAGCACCUUCAGGUCUCCCAACUGCCCUCUCCAUCUCUCGUACAUCACAAAACACCUGUGCAACCCUGACACAAACAGACUCAAACAACACAAAGAAGCCUGUGCCAGUGGGUUCCAUCCACCCCAGCAUCCACAGGGGCAGUGAAGCCAUCCCAGGGGCUGCCACACACAGCGCCAGAAGGGGAGAGCUGGCAAAGCAGAGCUAACAAGGAGCAGACCCAUCAAUUUUAGGGGGGGAAAUUAAACAAACAAGGGAAGUUGCAGCUCCACGCCCAGCUCAAGGUGCAGUAAUAAACAGGCAGCACUAAUGUGGAGCAAAUGAGGGUCUGACACCCUGUGAGCUGCAGCAGGAGGGAGAGCUUAAAGCACAUACUCGGGACUUUAAUGCCAGUGGAGCUCCCAAGGUUUGGGGCUUUGAUGUGGGAGGUGAGGAUGGAGCCAGAGGAAUCCUCACCGCCCCAAUGGGGACCUGGCUGCAGCCCCACCACCGUGCUCAGGGCUGGGGCUGCUGCUCCCCAGGCUGGCACUUGGGCUGAGCUCAUGGAAAAAGUGGUGGGCUCGCUCCUUUUGUGAGAUUUGCCAAACUGACCCAGGGCUAAUGAAAGGAGGUGUUUAAUUAUAGGGUUGAAGGUAAUUGGGCACAAAAGUGGGCAGUAAAAUGCAGCCAUGGUACAAAGGAGCUGAGGAACAAGGGCUUAAUCCUGGAACAGCACAUCUGAUUUACUCUUUAAAUUCCCUGGCCAACUCUUUCUCCCUCUCCUAAUGAGGGAAAAUGGCACAAGUCCCCACUAAGCAGUUUAUUCCUGACUUCAAGUCACCAAAACCAUGGCACUGUGCUCCGUCCCGGAAUGAUCUCAAUGCAUAUGCUUUGAGUUUAAAGGGAACAGCACAACCCGCAUCUGCAACUUCAUGUCUGCCAGGCUGCAAAGAAGCGACAGCUACAGCUUUCUGUGCAUGGGAUCAAGCAUCCAUCUGCAUCACAGCACACCAUGCAACCCCAUUGCACUGGUAAAAGGAUGUCCCUGCAGUGAUCAGCAGGGAGCAAGCAUGCCUCUCCCAUAACAACCCACGUGCUCAUCCCAGGGAUCAGAAAGCAAAUGCAUCAGUCUGUAGCACCCAACUCACCCCACGUUGUGACCACAGGCACCGGUGGCACAUGGAGCCCAUCUCUAUGCUAUGGCCUCCUAGAAGGUACAGGGGGUGUGAGGAGAUGGGAAGGCUUUGGUCCCAGUGCAGACUCUGGUCUAAGGGCUGAUUCACAUCCAGGGUUAUGCUGCUAACAUCAUUCCUACCGUUUUGUUUUCAUAUUUUAUUUUAUUUUUUACUUUUUUUAGGAGUUAUUUUAACACAAACCAGGCUGCGUUGUGAAAUCACAGCCCAAUAUAGCAGACUAACACACACAACUGACAAAAAAUGCCCUGCCCAGCCUUCAUCUUCCCAAUCUGAAAUACAGACCCAGAGCCUCUCCCCUGCAGCCCUCCCAUCCAGGAUAUGACCAUCCCAAAGGCAGAGGUUGGGCUCCUGCAGGUCCCUCCCGCACAACAGGGACUGUUGAAAAAAGCACAUUUUUCUGUCUCCCUUCCCCACUGAGGACGGCUUCUUCUUUUAAAAACAAUCUCUCUGCCUUCUCCUAUUUUGGCUGUUUUUAUAUUUUAUUUUACAAUAGCUUGUGUAAUCCAUUCCUCAUGUUCCAAAGGCGCUCGCUUCUUCCAGCGGGAAUGGAAAAAUCAUUGUUUCUUUUUGAUUUUCCCUUUUCUUUUAAUAUGUUUAUGUUAUGGAAAAUACCCCCAGACUGCAGACGCAUUGACUGUCCCACUCUAUUAAAAAAAUAAGUAAAUAAAUAGAAUAAAUAAGAAAAUAAAAUGUAGAGAAAUGGAAGAGCCAAGGAGGAUGCUGUGGGUUGAAGCCCCCCAGGAGACCUCAACAUGGUCCCACUUCUACUGCUGACAUCUUGCACGAGCACAGAGGAAUUCUUCCUCACCUUAUUGCAUAGCAAAAUGCAAAAUGCUUCCCUCAACCUCACAGCAACCCCAACCCCAGGAUGGGGUGGGCAAGGCCAGGAUGAAUGGUGGUUAUGCACCAUGUUGGAUAUGAGAGGCCAAUGGGAGAGCGCCUGGGUGUUGGCACACACCAAAACCAUGACAAAUCUUGUCUCUAAACCCAUGUUGGUCCAGCAACAGGGCAAAGCUGGUGGGUUUUGGCCAGCAAUUAAAACUGAAUCUCUUGAAAGCCAACCAGACUUGGUUGGGAAGAGCAUUUGCUCCAGUGUCCAGCGUGGUUUCUCAGGAAGGCAUUGCAGAGCAGUGCUCAGCUCACACCAUUGGCUUUCAGAGUGAUGCUUUCUGCAUAGGACAGGAAACGUGUGAAAGUGGUGUGAGCUCUAAAAUGGGGGGAAAAAAACAAACCCAACAUAAAAAGCACCGAGGAGCCCCAACCAAAGGGAUGGUCAAGGCUUCCAAGGGACUUCUGUGUUCAGAAUGGAAGGGAUGGGAGUGCUGAUUAAACCCGUUUUCAGCAUGACCACAACAAUGACCCCAAACAAACAAACAUGACCCCAAACAAUGACAUUUUCUUCUCACUCUGGCUGGAUGUGGCCAUAAGAAGAACUGGGUGCAAAUGCAGCAUGCAAUGGGAGGAAAAGGGAACAUGAACCCAUGGGGCUGAGCCUGGGGCCAUCCCACUGGGCUGCUCCACGGGCUCCUGCUAUCAGCUCCAUUUGGGGAUAUUUAUGGCGUGGCCGUGGCUCAGCCCUGCUGCUUCGGAUGGGAAGUUGCAUUCUUGCUCCUAAUGCCAACCAUGUGUGGAUCCAAGCACACAGCUCAUUCUUUGUUUCCCAAACUGUACGCGGCCAAAACAGUGGACCGCAAACGCUGACGACAUAUCAGAGGAGAUCAAGUCUAAGAAAUCAUCAUGAAUUAAAGUGCUCAACACAGGGAAAUGCCACUGUCUCCCUACCCCCAUCAGAUCAUAACAAGGCGACGAAAGACAAUGGAUUUAUGCCCAUUCCCCCACCCCAAAACACACAAACAGAAAUAUAUUAUAUAUAAAAAAAUAAUAAAAUAAUAAAAUAAAGACAUGCCACGAGCCAGCAGGGUGUCCUUGGAACAGGCAGAGCCACUGACAGGCGGUCGGAGCAACGCACAGCCUUCCCCAGGAGUGGGGGGGAUGAAUGGAGACAACACAGACUUUGUGGCCCCAGCAUGCAGCUCGGGCUCCCCAGAUGGCCCCCAAUGUGCCACUCCAAUGGAGAGUAGAAAACAACUUUUUCUUACAAAAAACAAAGUGUUUUGAGACUAAGAGAUAUCUUUGGGGGGGUUUUAAUUUCAUUCCUUAAAUGUUUGUGCAAACUGACCUCUGUUUUCAUGGAUAUCACCAGAAAAGUUAAGAAAAAUAAAUAAAUAAGAAUGGAGUUGAAUCCAAAAAAGCCAGGAGGAAUUUAAGUGAAUGUUCAUGGCUGUUUUGCAGUGCUCACCCAAACGUAACUGUGUGCAAAGCCAUGGAUAUGAGGAAAGACUUCUCUGAGAGUGUUAAUGCAUUGGUGUGGGAUGCUUGGGGAGGUGGGAGGGUCACCAUCCCUGGAAGUGUUCAAGAACCUUGGAGAUGUGGCACUUGGGGACAUGGUCAUUGCACAGUGUUGGUGGCAGGUGGACGUCUGGAUUGAAUGAUCUUAAAGGUCUUUUCCAUCCUUAACGGUUCUGUGCAGGAGAAGAUGCUCUGAGUUCCACAUAGAAAACCAUUUGGCCACAUUCCAGCCUUGGAGCGAUCAUUUAAUUCUCUCCCUUUUAAUAAAAAUUAUGUC